GGGGCUAUGGCGCAGCUGGUAGCGCGUCUCGUUCGCAAUGAGAAGGUCGGGGGUUCGAGUCCCCCUAGCUCCACCC
rnacentral:tRNA from 1 species